rnacentral:rRNA from 1 species
GACGAACGCUGGCGGCGUGCCUAAUACAUGCAAGUCGAACGCUUCUUUCCUCCCGAGUGCUUGCACUCAAUUGGAAAGAGGAGUGGCGGACGGGUGAGUAACACGUGGGUAACCUACCCAUCAGAGGGGGAUAACACUUGGAAACAGGUGCUAAUACCGCAUAACAGUUUAUGCCGCAUGGCAUAAGAGUGAAAGGCGCUUUCGGGUGUCGUUGAUGGAUGGACCCGCGGUGCAUUAGCUAGUUGGUGAGGUAACGGCUCACCAAGGCCACGAUGCAUAGCCGACCUGAGAGGGUGAUCGGCCACACUGGGACUGAGACACGGCCCAGACUCCUACGGGAGGCAGCAGUAGGGAAUCUUCGGCAAUGGACGAAAGUCUGACCGAGCAACGCCGCGUGAGUGAAGAAGGUUUUCGGAUCGAAAAACUCUGUUGUUAGAGAAGAACAAGGACGUUAGUAACUGAACGUCCCCUGACGGUAUCUAACCAGAAAGCCACGGCUAACUACGU